CCUACGGGAUGCAGCAGUGGGGAAUAUUGGACAAUGGGCGAAAGCCUGAUCCAGCCAUGCCGCGUGUGUGAAGAAGGCCUUCGGGUUGUAAAGCACUUUCAGUGGGGAAGAAAGCCUUGGGGCUAAUACCCUCGAGGAAGGACAUCACCCACAGAAGAAGCACCGGCUAACUCCGUGCCAGCAGCCGCAGGUAAUACGGAGGGUGCGAGCGUUAAUCGGAAUUACUGGGCGUAAAGCGCGCGUAGGCGGUCUGAUAAGCCGGUUGUGAAAGCCCCGGGCUCAACCUGGGAACGGCAUCCGGAACUGUCAGGCUAGAGUGCAGGAGAGGAAGGUAGAAUUCCCGGUGUAGCGGUGAAAUGCGUAGAGAUCGGGAGGAAUACCAGUGGCGAAGGCGGCCUUCUGGACUGACACUGACGCUGAGGUGCGAAAGCGUGGGUAGCAAACAGGAUUAGAUACCCCUGUAGUC
rnacentral:rRNA from 1 species